rnacentral:rRNA from 1 species
GUAGGGAAUUUUGCGCAAUGGGCGAAAGCCUGACGCAGCAACGCCGCGUGAGGGAUGAAGGGCUUCGGCUCGUAAACCUCUGUUGAUUGGGAAGAAACGUCGGGGGACGAAUAGUCUCUCGGCCUGACGGUACUAGUCGAGGAAGCCCCGGCUAACUACGUGCCAGCAGCCGCGGUAAUACGUAGGGGGCAAGCGUUGUUCGGAAUUACUGGGCGUAAAGGGAGUGUAGGCGGGAGUGCAAGUCAGAAGUGUAAUCUACAGGCUUAACCUGUAGUUUGCUUUUGAGACUGCAUUUCUUGAGUAGUGGAGAGGGAGACGGAAUUCCAGGUGUAGCGGUGGAAUGCGUAGAGAUCUGGAAGAACACCAGUAGCGAAGGCGGUCUCCUGGCCACAUACUGACGCUGAGGCUCGAAAGCUAGGGGAGCAAACAGGAUUAGAAACCCUAGUAGUCC